rnacentral:rRNA from 1 species
AGAGUUUGAUCCUGGCUCAGAUUGAACGCUGGCGGCAUGCCUUACACAUGCAAGUCGAACGGCAGCGGACCUUCGGGUGCCGGCGAGUGGCGAACGGGUGAGUAAAGCAUCGGAACGUACCCGGAAGUGGGGGAUAACUAUCCGAAAGGAUAGCUAAUACCGCAUAUUCUGUGCGCAGGAAAGCAGGGGACCGCAAGGCCUUGUGCUUCCGGAGCGGCCGAUGUCAGAUUAGCUAGUUGGUGAGGUAAAGGCUCACCAAGGCGACGAUCUGUAGCGGGUCUGAGAGGAUGAUCCGCCACACUGGAACUGAGACACGGUCCAGACUCCUACGGGAGGCAGCAGUGGGGAAUUUUGGACAAUGGGGGCAACCCUGAUCCAGCCAUGCCGCGUGAGUGAAGAAGGCCUUCGGGUUGUAAAGCUCUUUCGGCCGGGAAGAAAUCG